CCAUCACACCUGCCCAGGGACUCUAAGUCUGGACUUGGUAGGUUGCAACCCCACUUUGGUGGCAGCCUGGCUGGGGGCUGUCUACCACCCCACAGGGAAAGUGGGACUUCUUCACAGCUGCCCCUGUGGUUCAAAGGAACAGGGGCCCAGAAUCCUAAUGAGGAUGGUUCAUAUUAUGACAGAUCUGGGAACCUUAAAAGCAAAAGACAACUUAACAAUGCAGAAAACAAAUGCAGGCCCCUUGGCCUGGUUCUCAAGGGCAGCUGGAAGCUUAGUGGGGGUCCUGCCAGGGUCAAUCCCUUGUGCUGUCUGUCCUCCUC